rnacentral:rRNA from 1 species
GAUGAACGCUGGCGGCGUGCCUAAUACAUGCAAGUCGAGCGAAAGGACCAGAAGCUUGCUCCGCUGAUGUUGUCGGCGGACGGGUGAUUAACACGUGGAUAACCUACCUAUAAGAAUGGGAUAACUUCGGGAAACCGGAGCUAAUACGGGAUAAUAUUUUGAACCGCAUGGUUCAAAAGUGAAAGACGGUAUUGCUGUGACUUAUAGAUGGAUACGCGCUGCAUUAGCUAGUUGGUAAGGUAACGGCUUACCAAGGCAACGAUGGAUAGCCGACCUGAGAGGGUGAUCGGCCACACGGUAAGUGAGACACGGUCCAGACUCCUACGGGAGGCAGCAGUAGGGAAUCUUCCGCGAUGGGGGAAAGCCUGACGGAGCAACGCCGCGUGAGUGAUGAAGUUCUUCGGAUCGUAAAACUCUGUUAUUAGGGAAGAACAUAUGUGUAAGUAACUGUGCACAUCUUGACGGUACCUAAUCAGAAAGCCACGGCUAACUACGUG